AUUUUAUAGGUAGUGCUCCUACUUUAGAAGAACUUAAAUGGAAACUCCUGUCCUUGAAAGCAUCAAGAAAGAUGCCAACAAGUUCUCUAUUUGUUGCAACAAAACAGAAAAUAAAGGCUGAGGAGUACUUGAUACGCUGUGGGGUGAAGGAGAACAGAGCUGGAGCUUAAGUUGAUGCGCUCUAUAAAACACAAAGUAUUGAAACAGCACUUAGGUUGUAAUGAUGACUAUGAAACUGUGAGAAACAGACUGCUAGUAGAAUUUUCACUUCAUGAUGAAUGUAAAAAUGAGGGUUAUAUAGUCCUUUUAAGUAUGAUGGACGAGAUGGUUGAUGAAGAUAAUUUUUCUGUUUUUAACUACAUUCAACACAAUAAGAAGUAUGUUGGAGCCACAAGAUUACACAUGGGUAUGCAAAACAAACCGCUGAUGUACUUCAGUGACUCUGAGGAAAAGAGUGUCCAGCUGAAAUGUCAGCAAAACGAAGCAAACCAGGAAAUGUAGGUUGAGCUAAUGCGUCAUCGGAGCAAAGUGCCUCAGCAAAUGCGCAAACGGAGAAAAGUGUGUCAAGAGAUUUCAAGGACUUGAAAAAUAGAGGUGAUAAUUUAGAAUCAGUAGAUCGAUUACGUCGAUGCUAAUUAAUUCUGUCCAGUAUUAGCCACCGAUCCAAAAAAUAGUAUGUUACUGUAAAGAAAUGUGAUGUGACUUGCUGGAAUCUUAUGCCAGGACUUAAAUAAAAUGAUGGUCAUUAAAGUAAUGGAGAAUUUUAACCUUCUUUGUUUCAAUGUUAGCUUUUUCUAAUGUAACUAGUUUCUAAUAUUUAAACUUUUUUAUACUGAUAUUUUAAAUUUUGAUUGUAUCUCUGUCAAAAUCCCUAAUAUAGUGACAACUUUGAAUACUUGAGCUUUGGCUGUAAUACGACCAGCUCUUGUUUUAAUUCUGUUCAAUAAUACAAAAGAAACUAUUUCAAAAGUUUGCUUUAUUUUUUUUCUUCAGAAAAAUCAAUUGCACUGCCCUCUAAAGGUCCCUUCAUAUAUAGUUUUCUUUUUUAUUUAUUUACAUGUUGAAUAGUUUAGUGUCAUAUUAAAUAAAUAUGUAAGGAAAUGAACACUUUCAUAGUCCUUUCUUUCAAGACAUUUUGUUAGACGAAAAUAUAUUUGUUUAAAAUUUGGGGGAUUCAUAUAACAAGAAUUUAUAAUGUUAGUCCUAUUACUAGUACAUGUACUUCACCUCUUAUUUUAUGUACCAAAAUGGUAAUGGUGUGGAGUUUCCCUAUAUUAGAAUGAGUUGUUGUGUUCAAUAAAUGAAGCUGUCAGAUUAUCUGGCUUUUAUUAUUACUCAGUUUGAAAUAUUUAAGAAUUAUUCACGCCAUUUUUACCGUAUAAACUGGAUAAAGUUAACUUGCAACCUGAUGGACAGAAUAUUGACUUUUAUGAAUGAAACUUUUGAAUAAAAGAAAAA